rnacentral:pre_miRNA from 12 species
GCUGCACGCUCUUAGAAGCCAAGUGUGGGUGUGCCCUGAAAAAAAUGAGUGACCCAUCCUUAGUUUCUGAGGCGUAGA